AUACUUUUAGCAGCACAUAUAUUAAAAUUGGAACAAUACAGAGAAGAUUAGUAUGGCCCCUGUGCAAGGAUAACACACAAAUUCUUGAAGUAUUGCACAUUUUU